rnacentral:rRNA from 1 species
CCCUUAGAUGUUCUGGGUCGCACGCGCGCUACACUGAUGCAUGCAACAAGUCUUUUCCUUGGCCGAGAGGCCUGGGCAAUCUUUGAAUAUGCAUCGUGAUGGGGAUAGACGAUUGCAAUUAUUCGUCUUCAACGAGGAAUUCCUAGUAAACGCAAGUCAUCAGCUUGCAUUGAUUACGUCCCUGCCCUUUGUACACACCGCCCGUCGCACCUACCGAUUGAAUGGUCCGGUGAAGGCUUCGGAGGCGGCUUUCUCAAUGUUUAUUCGGCGAGACUGCUGCCAAAGUUGAAUGAACCUUACCAUUUAGAGGAAGGUGAAGUCGUAACA